GACGAACGCUGGCGGCAUGCCUAAUACAUGCAAGUCGAGCGAACAGAUGAAGUGCUUGCACUUCUGACGUUAGCGGCGAACGGGUGAGUAACACGUAAGGAAUCUACCUAUAAGCGGGGGAUAACAUUCGGAAACGGGUGCUAAUACCGCAUAAUAUCUUCUUCCGCAUGGAAGAAGAUUGAAAGACGGCUCUGCUGUCACUCAUAGAUGACCUUGCGGUGCAUUAGUUAGUUGGUGGGGUAAUGGCCUACCAAGACGAUGAUGCAUAGCCGACCUGAGAGGGUGAUCGGCCACAUUGGGACUGAGACACGGCCCAAACUCCUACGGGAGGCAGCAGUAGGGAAUCUUACGCAAUGGGCGAAAGCCUGACGGAGCAAUGCCGCGUGAGUGAAGAAGGCCUUCGGGUCGUAAAACUCUGUUAUAAGAGAAGAACAAAUUGUAGAGUAACUGCUACAGUCUUGACGGUAUCUUAUCAGAAAGCCACGGCUAACUACGUGCCAGCCGCCGCCGUAA
rnacentral:rRNA from 1 species